CCUGGACCAGGUUUUAAUAACAGGAGUUGGUCACCAGAGAGGACGGGUCAAAGAUCCUUCACUCUGGAGGCUCCAGCAGGAGAAAACUUAUGAUCCUUGUAGCAAAAAGCAUUAACUGCUUAAUCACCAGUAACUAUUUUACAGUACAUAUGAAUAAACAUAUGGACCCAGUGCAGCCUGGCGUCAUGCGUGCAAGACCCCAACCCCAUCUUCCUGCUGGAGGGCAAAAACCUGCUGGCUGACAAUGACUAGCAUUGAUUUUAGCCAUUAAGUUGUCAUUAUAAUGCGCUAAAUCUUAAAUGUACGGCCUAUAUAUAAAAGAAAAAUGCUACUAACUGUCAGCACUACCACAACUAGAUAACAAGGUUAGAAAAAAGUUUUAAUCAAGAAAAAAAUAGCGAGGGAGAGGGAAGUAGGUCAGUUAUGCUAGCUUGACUAUGACAACUGUAAGAUGUAGAUGUGAUGUGGAAUUCAAUGUGUUUUGGUUCAGUUACAAAAUAUUAUGUGAUCUAAGCACCAGCUGUCAACACAUAAACCUAAACACCAACUCCCUGACAGAUCAUCAGGGGUUCAGGGGUUUAAAUUAGCUAAUCAGCCACCGCAGUGUUAGCUUAGCAGGUAGCAGCAGUGGCUAAUCUACCACAGCGAUCACUUAUUAAUAAUCGCAAAGGCCUAAAAACAUAAAACGGUAACAGACGGAAUGUUCUGUUCUCUGUGUGGGGAAUGUUUGAGUGUUUUUUGGUGUUAAAACCUGAAAUAAAAAGUGCUGUUGUUGUCAGUUGCUAUGACAACAAGUCUGCGUGUAGUGGUCUAGAGUUAUUCUUUAACGGUUUUUCUGCAUUAGUUUUCCCGUUGCUGUGGCGCACUGCACUAAAUUAAUAAUAAUAUUUACAUCUCCAGGUUUCCUUCAGCUAACGGAGUUGUUCUCCGGCGGCGGCGCGGCUACAGAUGGCGAGGAAAAAAAUCGCCUUUUUGCCCUGCAGCAUUGUGCACAUGUGCAAAAUUCCUGGAUGUGAACAACAACAUCCACUGGGUCCAUACUGCAGCAACGGUCCAUCUAAAUCACAUGAUCACUCUGAAACCAGACGCUCAGGAACUGUUACCAUGGUGAUGGACACACCUCUGUUUUCAGCAGAACUACAUUCUUCCUGUUUUAUGAACGUCAACAAAAGCAUGCUGUCUGCGAGGUCAUGAUGUAAUGAAGGGAAGUGAACUUUGGUCUAAACCACGUCAGAUGUGACCAGCUCUAACGGCUGUGAUGCGUUCAGGGACUGUUUGUUUAUUUCAGUGGGUUUCCAGAGAGCGGAUCUGUUCAUAAAACUCAGAUGAAACCAGAA